rnacentral:rRNA from 1 species
GAUGAACGCUAGCGGGAGGCUUAACACAUGCAAGUCGAGGGGCAGCAUAGGGUAGCAAUACUCUGAUGGCGACCGGCAAACGGGUGAGUAACGCGUAUGCAACCUACCCUGUACAGGGGGAUAACCCGGAGAAAUUCGGACUAAUAUCCCGUAAUAAUAUCCGGAGGCAUCUUUGGAUAUUUAAAGUUCCGACGGUACGGGAUGGGCAUGCGUAACAUUGGCUGGUUGGUAAGGUAACGGCUUACCAAGGCUAUGAUGUUUAGGGGUCCUGAGAGGGUGGUCCCCCACACUGGUACUGAGACACGGACCAGACUCCUACGGGAGGCAGCAGUGAGGAAUAUUGGUCAAUGGGCGCAAGCCUGAACCAGCCAUCCCGCGUGCAGGAAGACGGCCCUAUGGGUUGUAAACUGCUUUUCCAGGGAGAGAAACUUACGCACGUGUUGCGUGACUGACGGUACCCUGGGAAUAAGCAUCGGCUAACUCCGUG